rnacentral:tRNA from 1 species
CAGGUGUAGUUUAAUGGUAGAACUUCAGCCUUCCAAGCUGACCGUGAGGGUUCGAUUCCCUUCACCUG